GUGAACAUGAUGUUUGUGGCUUAAACAGGACAGUCUGCCUCUUAUGAAGUCUAUGUUGACAGCAUCAUCCUAUAACAGCAACAGUUCACCCAACGAAUGUGGAAUAUACAGAACAACAAUCUACAAUAACAGCAGCAGUUGGAGGCUCUGAGCUGAGGCAGGGAGCGGAGGCAGCAGCAAGGAAGAGGAGACGAGACAAGAGGAGUGGAGGAAGAAGAGAACAACAGCAAAGCCAGGCAGACGGAGAGACCCCGCUCAGAUUGGCAUACGAGCAUUCAAGGGCUGGGAAAAUCCAAACAGGUUUAGGUGGCAAGAAUCAGUUUUCAGAGAGAUGAGAAGUGGUCUACGACACGAUAUGUGGAGGCAGCGCUCCGUGCUGAAUAUUGCUGCUGUAUGCGUAUGCUGCCUAUGACUGGUCUGCAAUUGAUUUGAGGAAAGAAUAACACUUAAUGUAACAAACUUUAAUGUUUUGAACAAGUUAAUUGCUGAUUUUUAAGGGGCUGAGAUGAAAAGGACAAAACCUUUCUGUUUCUAGGGAGACAGGUCUGAUAAUCAAGAGACUUAAUGUGAGGUCACAUUUUAAGACAUUUUUAAGACCACUCUCCAUUUUACUCUCCAUUUAAUCUCAUUGCUUAAACAACUGAUGUAUUUAAGAAUCUGAAACACUUUGCAAUAAGGUUUCAUUUGCUAAUAUUAGUUAACUAUGUUAGUUAACAUGACC
rnacentral:lncRNA from 1 species